CAAGGCUUGACAUAUACAGGAAUAUGGCAGAGAUGUCAUAGCCGCAAGGUCUGUAUACAGGUGGUGCAUGGUUGUCGUCAGCUCGUGUCGUGAGAUGUUGGGUUAAGUCCCGCAACGAGCGCAACCCUCGUUCUGUGUUGCCAGCAUUUAGUUGGGGACUCACAGGAGACUGCCGGGGUUAACUCGGAGGAAGGUGGGGAUGACGUCAAAUCAUCAUGCCCCUUAUGUCUUGGGCUGCACGCAUGCUACAAUGGCUGGUACAAACGGCUGCGAUACCGCAAGGUGGAGCGAAUCCGAUAAAGCCAGUCUCAGUUCGGAUUGGGGUCUGCAACUCGACCCCAUGAAGUCGGAGUUGCUAGUAAUCGUAGAUCAGCAACGCUACGGGAAUACG
rnacentral:rRNA from 1 species